ACGAAAGUCUGACCGAGCAACGCCGCGUGAGUGAAGAAGGUUUUCGGAUCGUAAAGCUCUGUUGUAAGUCAAGAACGUGUGUGAGAGUGGAAAGUUCACACAGUGACGGUAGCUUACCAGAAAGGGACGGCUAACUACGUGCCAGCAGCCGCGGUAAUACGUAGGUCCCGAGCGUUGUCCGGAUUUAUUGGGCGUAAAGGGAGCGCAGGCGGUCAGGAAAGUCUGGAGUAAAAGGCUAUGGCUCAACCAUAGUGUGCUCUGGAAACUGUCUGACUUGAGUGCAGAAGGGGAGAGUGGAAUUCCAUGUGUAGCGGUGAAAUGCGUAGAUAUAUGGAGGAACACCAGUGGCGAAAGCGGCUCUCUGGUCUGUCACUGACGCUGAGGCUCGAAAGCGUGGGUAGCGAACAGGAUUAGAUACCCUGGUAGUCCACGCCGUAAACGAUGAGUGCUAGGUGUUAGGCCCUUUCCGGGGCUUAGUGCCGGAGCUAACGCAAUAAGCACUCCGCCUGGGGAGUACGACCGCAAGGUUGAAACUCAAAGGAAUUGACGGGGGCCCGCACAAGCGGUGGAGCAUGUGGUUUAAUUCGAAGCACGCGAAGAACCU
rnacentral:rRNA from 1 species